CCCUGCAUCUCUGCAUCCUUUGGAGCAGCUUAGGUUAGUUCCAGAACUUUUGUUCCUUCUCUCAUCAUUUAGGUGUUCCUUCUUCUUCAUUUUUGUUCUACCAUAUUUCACCUGUCUGGUUCCCCACGGACCUUUCAUCUCUUAUUUCUCUCAAUUUUUUUGGGAUUUUUAGGAUUUUUGCUUGAAAUAUCUUCUGGCACCUCCACCUCUAGC
rnacentral:lncRNA from 1 species